CUUUUGUGGUGGAGCAGGACCUGCAAGGAAAGGGACCCUUAAUCCCCCUGCAGCUACCUGGAGUAAAGAGCCUUGCUAAAGGACACACCGGUGGUGACGACUGCAGAGAUCAAUCCAGUAACCUUCUGCUUACCAGCUCAGUGCUUUAGCCCACUCCACCACAAAUGUAAUUGUGCUCAUGGAGAGCAGCACACAAAUGUUUGGAGCAGACACAGCAGCAGCCAAAUUGUCGAGCACAUGUUCUCCUGCUCUUGCCUCAUGAUUGUGUGGUUCAGGGGCAUCAUCAUGGUCUUCCUCAUCCUCUCUGUUCACUCAGGCAACGACAGCCUCGAUGUCCCUUUCUCAUCCAUGAUCAGAUUCAGUCUGACUGCAGCAGUGAUGGUCGUGAUGGAUGGCAGAGACAGGUGAAGGUGGACACAGUGGUCAGCUGCUUCAUCAGAAUAAAGCUGCAGAACGGUCUCAGCUGUGUUGAGAUGGCAGUAGGACGUGGA